CUCUACGGCCACUCAGCUGAUCUUGAAGCAGGGGCUGCACCCACAGCUCUGUGGCUCCAAGGGCAUGCCCUUCCCACUGGACCCCCCACUGCCUGUUAAUGGCUUGCUGGAAGGUUGGGGGAGAAGGUACCAAGUGUGACCUGGACAGCGGUCAGGCAGGCCCUGCCCUCCGGAAGCUGCGGCUGCGCGGGGACGUGACCUUCUGCCCUCCGACCGGGGCUGUGAUAGGGUUCCUUCUUCAGCCCCGCCCUUCCCUACUGUGAGCCCAGAAAUGGACAUGUGACCCUGGCGGGCCAAUCAGAGCACUGCAUCUGUGAGCCCCAGGAACCGGUUCAGCUUCAGCCAAUCACAGCCUUCUCUGGGAUUUUUCUGCUGGAGUUCGUGGGAGAAACUCCCUGUUGCCUUCCCAGGAGUCAUGGGAGUCAAGGUGGAUGCUUGGGGUCACCUUCCUGGCCUCAUGGGGGCGUGCCCACGUGUAGUGGGAGAAACUGGAGCCAUUUUGCAGAAAGAAGCAGAGAUGGAAAUGAAAGGUGGCAGAGAGAGCCCUGAGGUUGUUUCUGGCCAUUCCGCUCCUGAGCUGUUUCUUGAUCCCUGGGGCCAAACAUCCUUCUUCUAAAAGUCCUCAGGGGCUGGACUGGGAGCUGUUGCUGUGGUCCGGAGCCCUGAUCAAUGUUGGGGGC